GGAGGGGUGGCUGAGCGGUCAAAAGCAACGGACUGUAACUCCGUCGACAUUGUCUACGCAGGUUCGAAUCCUGCCCCCUCCACCA
rnacentral:tRNA from 1 species